rnacentral:rRNA from 1 species
CCUCGGGGCGCAGCAGUGGGGAAUAUUGCACAAUGGGGGAAACCCUGAUGCAGCGACGCCGCGUGAAGGAAGAAGUAUUUCGGUAUGUAAAGCCCUAUCAGCAGGGAAGAAGAAAUGACGGUACCUGAGUAAGAAGCACCGGCUAAAUACGUGCCAGCAGCCGCGGUAAUACGUAUGGUGCAAGCGUUAUCCGGAUUUACUGGGUGUAAAGGGAGCGCAGGCGGCACGGCAAGCCUGAUGUGAAAGCCCGCGGCCCAACCGCGGGACUGCAUUGGGAACUACCGGGCUGGAGUGCCGGAGCGGCA